rnacentral:rRNA from 1 species
CCUACGGGAGGCAGCAGUGGGGGAUAUUGCACAAUGGGGGAAACCCUGAUGCAGCGACGCCGCGUGUGGGAAGACGGUCCUCUGGAUUGUAAACCACUGUCCCCAGGGACGAAGAUGACGGUACCUGGGGAGGAAGCUCCUGCUAACUACGUGCCCGCAGCCGCGGUCAUACGUAGGGAGCGAGCGUUGUCCGGAAUUACUGGGUUGAAAGGGAGCGUAGGCGGGAAUGUAAGUUGGUUGUCAAAACUACGGGCUCAACUGGUAGUCGCCAUUAAAACUGCAGCUCUUGAGUGAAGUAGAGGUAGGCGGAAUAAGUAGAGUAGCGGUGAAAUGCGUAGAUAUUAGGAGGAACACCAGUGGCGAAGGCGGCCUGCUGGGCUUUUACUGACGCUGAGGCUCGAGAGUGUGGGGAGCAAACAGGAUUAGAUACCCUUGUAGUC